rnacentral:rRNA from 1 species
UACGUAGGGCGCAAGCGUUGUCCGGAAUUAUUGGGCGUAAAGAGCUCGUAGGCGGUUUGUCGCGUCUGGCUGUCGAAAACCUAAGGCUCAACCUUGGGCUUGCAGUGGGUACGGGCAGACUAGAGUGCGGUAGGGGUGACUGGAAUUCCUGGUGUAGCGGUGGAAUGCGCAGAUAUCAGGAGGAACACCGAGUGGCGAAGGCAGGUCACGUGGGCCGCAAACUGGACGCUGAGGAGCGAAAGCAUGGGGAGCGAACAG